AGAGAUAGCUGUCUCUAUNNNANUUAUUUUUGAAGUUAACUUUUAAGUUAAAAGGCUUAAAUUUUUCUUAAAGACGAGAAGACCCUAUAGAGUUUAAUAGUUAAAUUAAUUAAAGGUUUUUGGUUAUUUAAUUCUUUAAUUGGUUUAGUUAUUUGGUUGGGGUGACUAANAGAUUUAAUAAACUCUUUUAAGAUUUAAUCAUUGAUUUAUGAAUAUAUAAUCUAAUUUUUUUAAGUUUAAUAUAAAUUACCUUAGGGAUAACAGCGUUAUUUCUUUUUAGAGUUCUAAUUAAAAGAGAAGUUUGCGACCUCGAUGUUGAUUUAAAUUGCCGCGGUAU
rnacentral:rRNA from 1 species